rnacentral:tRNA from 1 species
ACCGGCAUAGUACAACGGCUAGUACAACUGGUUCUCAGCCAGUGGAUCAGGGUUCGACUCCCUGUGUCGGUG